rnacentral:rRNA from 1 species
UACGUAGGGUGCAAGCGUUGUCCGGAAUUAUUGGGCGUAAAGAGCUCGUAGGCGGUUUGUUGCGUCGGCUGUGAAAUCCCGAGGCUCAACCUCGGGUCUGCAGUCGAUACGAGCAAACUAGAGUGUUGCAGGGGAGACUGGAAUUCCUGGUGUAGCGGUGAAAUGCGCAGAUAUCAGGAGGAACACCGGUGGGCGAAGGCGGGGUCUCUGGGGCAACAACUGACGCUGAGGAGCGAAAGCCGUGGGGAGCGAACAGG